UACGUAGGGUGCAAGCGCUAAUCGGAAUUACUGGGCGUAAAGCGUGCGCAGGCGGUUGUGCAAGACAGAUGUGAAAUCCCCGGGCUCAACCUGGGAAUUGCAUUUGUGACUGCACGGCUAGAGUGUGUCAGAGGGGGGUAGAAUUCCACGUGUAGCAGUGAAAUGCGUAGAGAUGUGGAGGAAUACCGAUGGCGAAGGCAGCCCCCUGGGAUAACACUGACGCUCAUGCACGAAAGCGUAGGGGGAGCAAACAGG
rnacentral:rRNA from 1 species